UACGAGAGGCCCAAACGUUAUUCGGAAUUACUGGGCUUAAAGAGUUCGUAGGCGGCGCGGAAAGUAGGGUGUGAAAGCUCCCGGCUCAACUGGGAGAGGUCCUUGCAUACUGGCGGACUUGAGGGGGGUAGAGGAAAGUGGAAUUCCCGGUGUAGUGGUGAUAUGCGUAGAUAUCGGGAGGAACACCUGUGGUGUAGACGGCUUACUGGACCGCAACUGACGCUGAGACACGAAAGCGUGGGUAGCAAACAGG
rnacentral:rRNA from 1 species